rnacentral:rRNA from 1 species
UACGUAGGGGGCUAGCGUUGUCCGGAAUCAUUGGGCGUAAAGCGCGUGUAGGCGGUCCGAUAAGUCCGCUGUGAAAGUCGGGGGCUCAACCCUCGGAUGCCGGUGGAUACUGUCGGGCUUGAGUACGGAAGAGGCGAGUGGAAUUCCUGGUGUAGCGGUGAAAUGCGUAGAUAUCGAGAGGAACACCUGCGGCGAAGGCGGGUUGCUGGGCUGACACUGACGCUGAGGCGCGAAAGCUAGGGGAGCGAACGGG